rnacentral:rRNA from 1 species
ACUCCUACGGGAGGCAGCAGUGGGGAAUAUUGCACAAUGGGCGAAAGCCUGAUGCAGCGACGCCGCGUGAGGGAUGACGGCCUUCGGGUUGUAAACCUCUUUCAGCAGGGACGAAGCGCAAGUGACGGUACCUGCAGAAGAAGCACCGGCUAACUCUGUGCCAGCAGCCGCGGUAAU